AGCCGCGUGGGUCAAUGCUGAGCGAACUAUGCUUUCGCCUUUUACUAACGAAUACCGUGUCUUGGCCACUUAGAGCGGCUUACGCCAAUUUUUAGAGGCUUCCUGUACUUAGAAUCU